rnacentral:sRNA from 2 species
GAUCUCUCAAACAACGAAAGCCCUACCUCUCUUCCAUCCUUACGGCUCCGAAGCCGCGCCAGUGUGAGUGAGGAGGAUCAACAGCAA